GGGGAGAUUAUUUUAUCGUCGCUAGCUAACUUUAAAACGAAUUAAUGAAGUGCAUUUCAUACUUGAGCACAGGUUUGAACCCUUUGGAGGAGAAACUGGAAUUAAAACGCCUUGGUGCCCACCAGCCUUGGGAUAUCAUCAGCACUCAAACUGCUGUUAAAAGUAACCGCGGUUUAACGUGGAGUGGUUAGCAUAGCCUACAACAUAAGUCAAGUUUGCCCAGAGGAAAACCCGCCGCAUCGCCGUUCUCUUCCAGCGGGCCAUCAGCCUCGUGAUUGCUGGAUCUCUCAGCCCGAGGCUGGAUGCUGCUUCAACGGAGACAGCUCAUCACGAUGAGUGACAAGUAUUGGGGGUGUGAACUCGACCAAUUGAGUAGGAGGAGAAGGGCGGAGCUGACGACACACUUCCUGCCUCAAGGCAUGAAGUUGUGUGUCAUUCCUGACAGCCGCCCAGCAGGAGGGGAACGCCACACUCCAUCUUGUGACCUUCGCGGGUGCUAACGUCGUUGCCAUGGCAGCAAGGCUUGAUGCUUUCUGACUGGUCUGAUUUGACCUCGACAGAAAUACGACUGCGGGCCUUUCAUCUCCCCCUUGUCC